rnacentral:piRNA from 1 species
UCCAAAGUGCCAAAGCCACAGGUGGCCAGAUC